rnacentral:rRNA from 1 species
CCAAUAGCGUAUAUUAAAGUUGUUGCAGUUAAAAAGCUCGUAGUUGAAUUUCGGGAUCAAUUUAUUGGUCGUGCUAUUGUACGUACUGGUAUUAUUGAUUCCUACCUUCUGACGAACCAUGAUGUCAUUAAUUUGGUGUCUUGGGGAAUCAGGACUGUUACUUUGAAAAAAUUAGAGUGUUUAAAGCAGGCUCACGCUUGAAUACAUUAGCAUGGAAUAACGAAAUAGGACGUUUGAUUCUAUUUUGUUGGUUUCUAGGAUCGACGUAAUGAUUAAUAGG